ensembl:lncRNA HIVEP2-DT HIVEP2 divergent transcript
CCACCUCAGCCUCCCGAGUGGAGGGGGAGCCACUGCAGAUCUGGAGCAAAUCAGCACCAGCCACUCCAGAGCCUGACCUACAUAGGACUCAGAAAGCAUUGUCUAUUGUGAUUGAUUAUUCCUGUGUUCAGUCCCAAUGGCCUAUUGAUUGGGGGUUUCUCUCCAAAAGGCUGCAUGGCUUUUCUUCUCUAAGUGAAUCUCCUUUAUAACCCAUAUUUUAUGUCUAUAUACCAAACAUGCUAUCCAUAUUUAGUCAAUGUCCAGUUGCUUGCAUGUAAGGGCAAUAGAGUAAUCAGAAAACUCUUCCCAGAAAGCCCCCGAAGACAAAACUAGUACUGGUAGAAAACUGGGCAUGCAGCUCUAAGAAACUCUAUGGGAAGUGAGGCUGGGUGGGGCACAGCUGCCCCAGCCUGGCACCCAUAUGGAGCAUCAGCAAGGAAGUAGGAACUUUCUUUUCAUCAUGCAUCCUUCUUAUCACUUCUCAGUUUCAAAGGGAAAGAAAAUUUGGUAAUCUGCAUUUUGAGACAUUAAGAAAAUAAAAUAAUUAAUGGCUUCAUGGUUAUAUGGCAUUUUUCAGAGUAUUGUCAGAAAAUCAUUUCGAACUGAAAUUUUCAUUCAAAAAUAUUUAUUGAAUGCCGGCUAUGUGCUGAAGAUUCUUAAGAUACAUCAGUGAACAAAUCAAAGUUCCCUGCUUUCUUGGAGCUUGCAUUCCAGCGGGAGGAGAGGAUUUGGAGGAAGAAUGGGAUAGACAAUAAAUGUAAGUAAUAAAUUAUAUAGGACUUUGAAAGGUAAAAUGUUUGGGGGAAAAACAUAAAAUAGGGUAAAGGAUAUAGGUGGGGUGAGGGUUGUCCUGAUGCUGUAUUAAAUAGGAACAUCAGAGUAAGACUUGUUGAAAAGGGAGAUUUCUGCCAUGGUUUGAAGGAAAUACCUGGAGAUAUCUGGAGGACAGAGCUUUUCACAUGGAGGGAACAGCCAAGAUACAGCUCCAAUACCUGGAAUUUUUAUAGACAUCAAUGGGAAUGGUGUGGCUAGAAUAAAAUGAGACAGCCAGUGAACAGAAGGCCUCUCAGGUCACCGUAAGAAUUCCAGAAAAGCUUCAUAAAAGGCAAAUUUUGGGCCUUUAUCACUCAGCCCCAUGGAAUCUGAAUCUUUGUGGGCCCAGGACUCUGCAUUUUUAACAUGUAAAGCAAUUGUUACUUAUGUAUUCUAAAGCACAAGACCUCCUGCCACAGAGCAUGGGACCUGAUAUAUCCAGGCAGGAGAACUGGGUACCAGGAGACACUGUACAUGAAGUUUCCAGAACCAGCCAUGUCCAUCUUACUAAUCAAGACUCUCUCUGUUAAAUCUGCAACUCAAAUGACUUUAAGGAAAAAUGGAUUUCAUUGAUUCACAUAACCAUCACUCAAGGACUAACUUUCAACAUAGUGAGAUCCUGAGGCUCAAAUAUUAUUACCCGGGUUCCAUGAACUGCUUCCUCUGACAUGAGAUCUAACAAGGCUAAAGACUAAAAUGCAGCUGUUUACAGCGUAAGUAGGAGGCCGUCCCGUGCAGUGCAAAAUCAACAGAGAGGAGACAGUCCUAUGCCUUCGAGAGACAGUCUGCUGAUACUGUCAUGAUGUCUAGUGACAGGCCAGAGAUCAAAACCCAACACCCUCAUUUACCUGACAGUGAUUUGGCCAAUCCCUUAACAUCUCUAAGAGCUUCAUUUUUCUACAAAAUUGAGACAAUAGUAUUUGUUUCAUAGUGUUACUGUCAGGGUUAAAUGUUAUACAUUAAGCAUUUAAUAUAUGCUGCUUGUUUAUCUAAAUAUUCAUGGUCAGGCACUAACUUCUUAUGUGACUCUGAGCAAUGCAUUCAUCUCUGUACCUGUUUCCUCAUCCAUAAAUUGGGAGUUGAACAAGGUGAGCCCUAAGUUUCGUUCCAACUUCAAUAUUCUAUAAUUCUUGCAACUUAUAUGGCCUCAGUUUUCUUAUCUUUAUAAUGGGCAUAAGAGUACCUACCUCACAGAAUUUUUGAGAGGAUAAAAUGAAUUAAGACAGGUAGAAAAUUCUUAGAACAGUGCCUGCCACAUUGGAAGUGCUUAAUAUGUAUUAGCUGUGAUGAUGCUGCUAAUGAUGAAGAUGAUAAUGACCCUAUUUGCAGAUAGUAUGGCAGCCAUAAAACAUUCAGUAUCAGAUUGAUUACAUUCUCUUAUUUUCUGAGUCAAUGCCAGAGCUACCAAGAUUUUAUUCUUUAAAGGUUCUUCAAGACUAAAUUCUUUUUACAUGAUAUGAUUAUUACACAUUGUAUGUCCGUAUCAGACCAGCCUGGCCAACAAGGUGAAACCCCAUCUCUAAAAAUACAAAAAUUAGCAGGGCAUGGUGGCACGCACCUGUAGUCCCAGCUACUCGGGAGGCUGAGGCAGGAGAAUCACUUGAACCCGGGAGGCAGAGAUUGCAGUGAGCUGAGAUCGUGCCACUGCACUCCAGCCUGGCAGAGUGAGACUCCAUCUUAAAAAAUAAAUAAAUAAAUAAAUAAAUAAAUCUCAUGUACUCCAUAGAUAUGGGGUACCUACUAUGUACUCACAAAAAUUAAUUUUUUUUUAGAAAAGCCUAAGCUCAUUUGCUUCUUAGUAAGAAUUAUGUUAAGAUUUCCCAGUGUAGAUACCCUAGGCUGCUAAUUUUUUUUCUUUUGUUAUCAGUAUCUUAAGAAAUUAAUUGGCCCGGGAGUGGUGGCUCAUGCCUGUAAUCCCUGCAGUUUGGAAGGCCAAGAUGGGAGGAUUGUUUGAGGCCAAGAGUUCAAAACCAGCCUGGGCAACAUAGUGAGAUACUAUCUGUAUAUAAAAUAAAAAAAUUAGUGAGGCAUGGUGUCAUAAGCCUGUGGUCCCAGCUACU